rnacentral:rRNA from 1 species
GUAGGUGGCAAGCGUUGUCCGGAAUUAUUGGGCGUAAAGCGCGCGCAGGCGGAUCAGUCAGUCUGUCUUAAAAGUUCGGGGCUUAACCCCGUGAUGGGAUGGAAACUGCUGAUCUAGAGUAUCGGAGAGGAAAGUGGAAUUCCUAGUGUAGCGGUGAGAUGCGUAGAUAUUAGGAAGAACACCAGUGGCGAAGGCGACUUUCUGGACGAAAACUGACGCUGAGGCGCGAAAGCCAGGGGAGCGAACGGGGGAUUAGAUACCCCGGUAGUCCUGGCCGUAAACGAUGGGUACUAGGUGUAGGAGGUAUCGACCCCCCUUCUGUGCCGGAGUUAACGCAAUAAGUACCCCGCCUGGGGAGUACGACCGCAAGGUUG